GGCUGUCUGUGAUGCUAUUCUAAAUCCUUACCUACCUUGUUUGAGUAGUUAUUAUGAAAAGAAUUAAUGUCUGAGACAUGC